ensembl:lncRNA
AAAGAAACUCAUACAGGUUUGCAGGAACUUGAUGCAGGAAAUGGACUUUCAUAUUUACACAGCACACAAGGUAAAGCAGCACAUGCAGAAGAGAAAGAGGAAAACAAGUGAGAAGAGAGCGAGAGUUUGUCUGUUGACACUUUCUCAUGGCAGCUGAAGUCUAAUUGUGUGUCAGACGGAAGUGACCUCUGCUUGUGCUGAAAGCUGAUUGGCUGAUGGCGAGGCAGUUCUGUCCAAACUGAUAGACCUGUUCCUUCCCCGGCUGUCCACCCGUGUGUCUUUGUUCCCUUCAUUCAUUGUCCCUCUGACCUAACUGUCCUCAAAACCGACUGCUGACCAGUGAUGGCGUCACAGUUUGUUACUUCCUCUGGUUUUAAAAUAGGACUCUGAACAACUCUGUGUGAGAAAAUUAA